rnacentral:rRNA from 1 species
AACGUAGGACGCAAGCGUUAUCCGGAAUUACUGGGCGUAAAGCGCGCGCAGGCGGGUCCGCAAGUCAUGUGUGAAAGCUCCCGGCUAAACCGGGAGAGGUCAGAUGAAACUGCGGGUCUAGAGGGUGUUAGAGGAGUGUGGAAUUCCACGUGUAGUGGUGAAAUGCGUAGAUAUGUGGAGGAACACCAGUGGCGAAGGCGACACUCUGGGACACCCCUGACGCUGAGGCGCGAAAGCAUGGGGAGCGAACGGGAUUAGAUACCCCCGUA